GUAGAAACAUAGGAGCUAUGCAUCAAGAAACUUAGUGCGGCGAGGCAACCGAGCCUUCGAGACGAAAGCUUAUUAAUCCUCGGCGACGGUGAGCAAUGGACGACGACAGCGUCGAGAGGAUGCUGGAGCGCGAGAGACUCCAGAUGGAGCAGAUUAGAGAGCUCGACAUGGAGGAGCUCCAGAUCGAGGAAGUCGACGACGAUCACUCUUCCGACGACGACGUCCUCAUCAGUGGCCGUGGUGAUGGAGGGGCAGGUCCAUCUGGUGGCUUUACCUUCAAUACAUGUUUGGCUUCAUUGCAUACAUAUCUUGGUGAGGUUGAUGAUACUCAUGGUAGGCUGUCUUUUUUGGAUGGGGGUGCAAUCUUAAAUUUGCCAAUGUUCUAUCUUGAAGGAGUAGUUUUGUUCCCUGAAGCGACCCUUCCUCUCAGAGUGAUUCAACCUAGAUUUAUAGCUGCUGUGGAAAAAGCUCUGAACCAGGUUGAUGCUCCGUUCACAAUUGGUGUGGUUCGAGUUCAUAGGCACCCAGAUGAUGGAAGGCUUCGCUUUGCUUCAGUUGGGACAACUGCAGAGUCAAAAAAUGUUCUACUUAACCAGUCAAUACGGCAAUAUCGGCGAUUGGAUGAUGGUUCGUUAAAUGUGGUUACUCGUGGUCAACAGCGCUUUCGCUUGAGACGCCGUUGGAUAGAUGUUGAAGGAGCACCAUGCGGUGAAGUGCAAAUAGUUCAGGAAGAUACACCACUGAGAACACCAAAGGAUGCAUUUGCGCAGUUGGCUUCAGUUAGUAAUUUUCGGAAAUGUAGUUUUUCACAUGCAGCACUUUUAGGUGCUUCUCCUGCUAAACGACGUGCAUGUGUGGAUAUAGACAAUGAUUGGGAACGUAUGUCUGCUGCCAGCAUUGUAAGUGAUCAUUCAGCUACUGAUUCCAGUGAUUCGCCCCAUAGAUAUGGAGUUGAUGAGUCCUUGAGUGGUGAUGAGGAUUUUAUGGAUGGGUGGGAUCAGAGGAGGAGAAAAUUCCAUUCGGAAGGGUUUAGUAGAUCAGAUCAAGUUCAUAAGUGUGUGAAGUUUGAUGAGGAUGAUAAUCUUGGAUGGGACUCUGUGGAGGACUUUGCAUCAGGAAAAAGAUCUGGUGAUUGGGAAAUAAGGGAAAGGCAUAGGGCUGUCCAUGAGAAAAAAUCGGUGUUCUGCGCUCCAUUGUCUUUCUGGCCUCACUGGGUUUACCAAAUGUACGACUCAUAUGCCCUUGCUCGAAGGGCUGCAGAUUUGUGGAAGCAAGUAAUAGGAAGUCCAAAUAUGGAUGAUUAUAUAAGAAAGCCAGACCUUUUAUCAUUUUAUAUUGCAAGCAAGCUUCCCAUGUCAGAAUCUACAAGGCAGGAGCUGUUGGAGAUCGAUGGAAUUUCUUAUCGAUUGAGACGGGAAAUACAGUUACUGAAAGGCUUUAAUCUUAUACGUUGUAAAAACUGUCUGACUUUAAUUGCAAAGCGAAGUGAUAUGGUGGUGAUGUCUAGUGAUGGACCCCUCAAUGCUUAUGUGAACCCUCAUGGUUAUGUGCAUGAGAUCAUUACCGUUUAUAAUGCAAAUGGGCUAGCACUUCUUGGUUCACCUGCCAAAGAGCAUAGCUGGUUUCCAGGUAUCCGUUGCUGCCCAAAACCUGAGCUAAUGGAGUUGGUGAGCGGGUGCAGGUCAGUUGGUCAGCUCAAAGUGGAAGUCUGCUCGGGGAUGAAGUCUGCAUGGACUGAAAGUCUGACAUGCAAGCAGAAAAAAAUCAGAGCUGGCCGGAUUUGAUCCGGUGAGGGGCUUUGUAAUGCUUAAGUCAGGUAGAGUUUUGGAAGAGUAAUAGGAGGAGAUUUGUGUACGAGCAAUUUAUGGAAAGAGUAGAGAAGAUGAGAUGCAUACCUGGCCUCCUGUGCUGUUUAUAUAGAGAUGAGAGCGGGGUUUUGUUACUCCCCGACUCCGAGACUAGCAGGUGAGCUGUAACCGCUAUUCCUUAACUGUGACUUGCCCAGCGGUAACUAUUCUUCACAUUCUGCCAGGUAUCUUGAAUACAUGUGCCAUGGGUUGCCUGGCCAUUGGGCAGUGAGGUCGAGUGGUAACAGUUGUUUGGGCAUUGAAUUCGGGCCACAUCAGCAUCCAUUAAUUUCUUUCAAUUUUUUUUGGCAUACGGUAGUAACCUUGUGGAUUGGUUAAUAUGGUAGUAGUAUAUUAUAUAUUGACCCAGAAGGUGAUUUCUAGUAAUCUCAUUAUGUUCCCAAUUUUUGGUCUGUUUAUACUUGUGAACUUGGUGAACCACCUAGUGUCCUUCAGGAAACUAUCUGAUAAGACGCCUGAAGUGUGUUUUAUUUGGAUAUUGAGUACUGCUGUCCCGCAAUGCUCAAGGAGCUCAAUCGCAGGUAUGCAUGGACGAUCACCAACUGUGCUGUUUGUGAAUCAAACAUGGGCUGGUUAUUUACAGCUACAAAAAGAAAUUUGCUACCAAAGUCAUUUUGGGGGAUCCGUAGUUCUCAAGUUACUGAUGAUACACAAUGAGAAAUGAAAUGAGGAAGGUUUUUUUCCUUGUUCUAGCCAAGUGUAAUAUGUGUACGGAUGCAUUUUAUAUACCGAGAAUAUGCUGUAUGCUUGUUAAGCAGUUUGGCAUUACCAACCUGUGAUUUAAUGCAUCAUGUAUAUGAAUAGUUGUAUUUGUUAUGAUAUGCUAUUGAGAGGGCUAGUUUUCCUUUAUAACCCAAAUAGGCUGUUUCUGAA